rnacentral:rRNA from 1 species
CUGGCUCAGGAUGAACGCUGGCGGCGUGCUUAACACAUGCAAGUCGAACGAAGCGCCUGGUCACGAUCCCUUCGGGGUGACGACCUUGUGACUGAGUGGCGGACGGGUGAGUAACGCGUGGGAAACCUGCCAUGUACUGGGGGAUAACAGUUGGAAACGACUGCUAAUACCGCAU